AUUGAACGCUGGCGGCAUGCCUUACACAUGCAAGUCGAACGGUAACGCGGGGCAACCUGGCGACGAGUGGCGAACGGGUGAGUAAAGCAUCGGAACGUGCCCAGUAGUGGGGGAUAGCCCGGCGAAAGCUGGAUUAAUACCGCAUACGACCUAUGGGUGAAAGGGGGGGAUCGCAAGACCUCUCGCUAUUGGAGCGGCCGAUGUCAGAUUAGGUAGUUGGUGGGGUAAAGGCCUACCAAGCCGACGAUCUGUAGCUGGUCUGAGAGGACGACCAGCCACACUGGGACUGAGACACGGCCAAGACUCCUACGUGAGGCAGCAGUGGGGAAUUUUGGACAAUGGGCGCAAGCCUGAUCCAGCCAUGCCGCGUGCGGGAAGAAGGCCUUCGGGUUGUAAACCGCUUUUGUCAGGGAAGAAAUCCUUUGGGUUAAUACCUCGGGGGGAUGACGGUACCUGAAGAAUAAGCACCGGCUAACUACGUGCCAGCCGCCGCAGUAA
rnacentral:rRNA from 1 species